CCUGAACGCUGGCGGCGUGGCUAAGACAUGCAAGUCGAACGGGACCCGCAAGGGUUCAGUGGCGGACGGGUGAGUAAUGUAUCGCUAAUGUGCCCCGGAAUCCGGGAUAGCUAGCCGAAAGGCUAGGUAAUACCGGAUGAUAUGUCCUGAUGGCAUCAUCGGGACCUCAAAGGAGCAAUCCGGUCUGGGAGCAGGCGAUAUCGUAUCAGCUAGUUGGGAGGUAACGGCUCACCAAGGCGACGACGCGUAGCCGGGCUGAGAGGUUGGCCGGCCACAUUGGGACUGAGACACUGCCCAGACUCCUACGGGGGGCUGCAGUAACGAAUCUUCCGCAAUGCACGAAAGUGUGACGGAGCGACGCCGCGUGUAGGAUGAAGUCCUCGG
rnacentral:rRNA from 1 species